rnacentral:rRNA from 1 species
UACAGGGGGGGCAAGCGUUGUUCGGAAUUACUGGGGCGUAAAGGGCUCGUAGGCGGCCAACUAAGUCCGACGAUGAAAUCCCAAAGCUUAACUUUGGAACUGCGUCGGAUACUGGAUGGCUUGAAUUCGGGAGAGGGAUGCAGAAUUCCAGGUGUAGCGGUGAAAUGCGUAGAUAUCUGGAGGAAUACCGGGUGGUGAAGGCGGCAUCCUGGACCGACAUUGACGCUGAGGAGCGAAAGCUAGGG